CUCAAAAAGCUCAUGGGUUAAGCAACAAAACCUGCAAAUAACUUCGAUGGAGCUCACUCUGGAAAGCCCCUUUUCCAAUCCUUCCAGAUAAUCAUGUUCAGUAAGAGAGAAGCAUCACGGCAUCCACACGAAGCUGCCAUAAACAUCCUCCUCCUACUCAGUCCUCCGGAUUCUCAACUCUGUCCUCUCCGGUUUGUGCAUCACCCCCACCAGUCCUCAACUCUCAACUGUGUCCACGUCUCUCCCUCUCCCACGAUCCCCCAUGCCAGGCAGGGGCUGCUGACCUUGCUAUGGUCACCCCUGUCUUGCUGUCACACAGGAUCUGCACUUAGCAGCCCGAGUGACCCCUUUAAAGUCACACCUGGGCUGUUACCGGCCUGCUCCACACUCCACAGCAGUUUUCUAUGGCUCUGGGAGGAAGCCCAGUCUUAGCAUGAACUGGAUCCCUCACCUCUCUGACUCCCCACUCAGGGUGGGGCCGUGGUCCUGGCACCUCCCUUUGGGUCAUCCCUGGCCCCAGCUAACUCUCCUAUCCAUCUUUUGAUUCAGAGCAAGGGUCAGUGACACUCCCGGAGACACCUGUCCUGUCUCACAAAAGCAGCCCAUUUCCAGGUCCUCACAGGCCUGCCUUCUCCACUGCAUGUGAAAACUACAGCAAAUCAUUCCACGAGGACCAAGCCUCUGUCCUUCUGUCUGGGGCUGACAGCACAGUGCAGCAUGCUUCAGGCACUCAAUGUGUUUCUACUGAAGCAGUAAAUAAAACCAAGAAUUGUUACCA